rnacentral:rRNA from 1 species
AUACGUAGGUGGCAAGCGUUGUCCGGAUUUAUUGGGCGUAAAGGGAGCGCAGGUGGUUUCUUAAGUCUGAUGUGAAAGCCCACGGCUUAACCGUGGAGGGUCAUUGGAAACUGGGAAACUUGAGUACAGAAGAGGAAUGUGGAACUCCAUGUGUAGCGGUGGAAUGCGUAGAUAUAUGGAAGAACACCAGUGGCGAAGGCGACAUUCUGGUCUGUUACUGACACUGAGGCUCGAAAGCGGGGGGAGCAAACAGGAUUAGAUACCCUGGUAGUCCACGCCGUAAACGAUGAGUGCUAGGUGUUGGAGGGUUUCCGCCCUUCAGUGCCGCAGUUAACGCAUUAAGCACUCCGCCUGGGGAGUACGACCGCAAGGUUGAA